GUGUUGCUAUGGCAGCACAUAUACUAAAAUGGGAACGAUACCGAGAAGAUUAGCAUGGCCCCUGCAUUAGGAUCACAGGUAAAUUUGGAAAUAAUGUCAUACUUUC